rnacentral:ncRNA from 1 species
CAGCUUUUUUAUUAGUUGUCUGCAAAAUUAUACAUGCAAGAGUCAUCACACCAGUGAGAAUGCCCUUUAAGCCUUACAAAACUAAAAGGAGCAGGUAUCAAGCACACUACAAAGUAGCUCAUAACACCUUGCUUCGCCACGCCCCCACGGGAAUACAGCAGUAAUAAAUAUUAAGCAAUAAACGAAAGUUUGACUAAGUUAUGCAGCCUUCAGGGUUGGUAAAUUUCGUGCCAGCCACCGCGGUCAUACGAUUAACCCAAACUAAUAAAUAUCCGGCGUAAAAAGUGUUUUAGAGGCAUGAAUGAUAAGACUAAAUUUUAUCUAAGUUGUAAAAAACUCCAGAUACAAUUGAAACCAAAAGCGAAAGUAGUCUUAAUAUAUCUGAACACACGAAAGCUAAGACCCAAACUGGGAUUAGAUACCCCACUAUGCUUAGCCAUAAACUUUAAAAUUCAUACAACAAGAAUCUUCGCCCGAGGACUACUAGCAAUAGCUUAAAACUCAAAGGACUUGGCGGUGCUUUAUACCCACCUAGAGGAGCCUGUUCUGUAAUCGAUAAACCCCGAUAUACCUCACCACUUCUUGCUAAUACAGCCUAUAUACCGCCAUCUUCAGCAAACCCAAUCAUGGAACCAAAGUAAGCAAAAGUAUCUUGCAUAAAAACGUUAGGUCAAGGUGUAGCCAAUGAAGUGGAAAGAAAUGGGCUACAUUUUCUUACCAAAGAACAUACGCAAAUCUUUAUGAAAAUUAAAGACUCAAGGAGGAUUUAGUAGUAAAUUAAGAAUAGAGAGCUUAAUUGAACUAGGCCAUGAAGCACGUACACACCGCCCGUCACCCUCCUCAAGUACCCAAAAAUCUAAAAAUUAAAAUUAAUAUGUACAAGAGGAGACAAGUCGUAACAAGGUAAGCAUACUGGAAAGUGUGCUUGGA